UUACGAUAUAUAGUUAUAGAAAAUUAAAAAAACAUUUUUUUUUAUUUGAAAAACAUUUUACCUCAGACAGGAUUUGAACCCGUACCUGUAAAUUUUAGCUAGUAAAAACUGGUGUCUUAUCAGUUAUAGUCCAAAACUUAUAGGCACAGGUUCGAAUCCUACACAGUAACCAGAGCCAUAUUAUUUUUAAUAACUUUGGUGAAAUUGCAUUUUUUAAAAAAUUUCACCUGAGAAUAUAAAAAUUGACUUUGUUUUUACUGUAAUAUCCCUUUGAAGUUACGAAAAUAAACGUAAAAAAACAUAGUGUCAUUGAGAUUUCCCUCAACUUUCUUAUUUUUAUUUUAAUAUAUUAAUGUUACUUAUGAAUUUUCAUUGCCAUAAAUACGACCAACGAUUUGGGGGCACUCGCUACUACCAACUGGCGACAGCAAGCAACUAAUCGGGCUGACUGGCGGAGGCUACUCGACGCGGUCAAGGUCGACUCACAUCUGUAAUAUCCAACUAAAAUGGGUUUGAUGAAUGCUUAGACUGAGCUGAAAAAUCGAUUCAGUUAUACCGGCAAAUCUAAACAGCGAUGCUAUACCGGCCUUGUUAUCAAAAUUAUAUCACAAGAAUAUGAAUGAAUUGCAACUUCCUAAAUCAACACGUAACAGAAGAAUAACAACAAGUCGGAUAUACAAAUUCAAAUACGAUAGAAAAGGGCUAAGUAUAUAUAAUAGGAAAAACGAAGGUGAUCAUUGGGUUUCAAUUCUUUUAAAUUUUGUACGUAUUUCAUUUUUUGAUGCUAGUAAUAAUCAUUCGUGUCCUUCUUUAGCUAGAAGAAGAUUGAAAAUCUUCGGAUCCCCUUUCCUCGCCGAUCUAACUGAGCUGUCAUCCUGUAAUGUUAGAAGCCUGGCCAAGUUUAUAUAACUGUCAGGUUAGUUUUCCUUUACCUAAUGGGUGAGUCGUUACCUUUUUCGGUGUUUGCUGUAUACUGAUUUAAAUAUUUUUACGUACUACUGCUAUUCCUAUCGUACCACAAUGGGUCAUCAUUUGAGUUCAAGUGGGCUUUUACCUACCUACUUACCUACCGAAUAAUCAUUCGUGAACUUAAGUAGAAAUAUAUAGCUUUGACAACAAUUUCUUCCUGUAUAUUAAUUUCAUCCCAAUAUUUUCUGCACUCAUCCGGGCUUCAAUGCGUUAUGUGAUCUAAUUGUGGAUAAUAAUGUUGCAAAAUUUAAUAUUUAACGAACACUUAUAAUAACGAACACUUAGAAAUUUAAGUUUAAGUUCAAUUCUAUUAGCAAUAGUUGUUAUUUAAUUGGGAAAC